GCAGUCGUGGCCGAGUGGUUAAGGCGAUGGACUAGAAAUCUAUCGGGGUCUCCCCGCACAGGUUCGAAUCCUGUCGGCUGCA
rfam:Ixodes scapularis strain Wikel colony gcontig_1108378322170, whole genome shotgun sequence.